UCUGCCUGGUAGUGGGGGAUAACGUUCGGAAACGAACGCUAAUACCGCAUACGUCCUACGGGAGAAAGCAGGGGACCUUCGGGCCUUGCGCUAUCAGAUGAGCCUAGGUCGGAUUAGCUAGUUGGUGGGGUAAUGGCUCACCAAGGCGACGAUCCGUAACUGGUCUGAGAGGAUGAUCAGUCACACUGGAACUGAGACACGGUCCAGACUCCUACGGGAGGCAGCAGUGGGGAAUAUUGGACAAUGGGCGAAAGCCUGAUCCAGCCAUGCCGCGUGUGUGAAGAAGGUCUUCGGAUUGUAAAGCACUUUAAGUUGGGAGGAAGGGCCAUUACCUAAUACGUGAUGGUUUUGACGUUACCGACAGAAUAAGCACCGGCUAACUCUGUGCCAGCAGCCGCGGUAAUACAGAGGGUGCAAGCGUUAAUCGGAAUUACUGGGCGUAAAGCGCGCGUAGGUGGUUUGUUAAGUUGGAUGUGAAAUCCCCGGGCUCAACCUGGGAACUGCAUUCAAAACUGACUGACUAGAGUAUGGUAGAGGGUGGUGGAAUUUCCUGUGUAGCGGUGAAAUGCGUAGAUAUAGGAAGGAACACCAGUGGCGAAGGCGACCACCUGGACUGAUACUGACACUGAGGUGCG
rnacentral:rRNA from 1 species